AACCUCGUAGUGAAAUUCAUUCCGAAUUGCAAAUUCGGAGAUACACUUUGAUUUGUGUCGGGGUUU
rnacentral:tRNA from 1 species